CCUACGGGGGGCAGCAGUGGGGAAUAUUGUGCAAUGGGCGAAAGCCUGACGCAGCGACGCCGCGUGAGGGAUGAAGGUCUUCGGAUCGUAAACCACUGUCAGCAGGGAAGAACGGUCACUGUGCUAAUCAGCAGUGAAUUGACGGUACCUGCAGAGGAAGCACCGGCUAACUCCGUGCCAGCAGCCGCGGUAAUACGGAGGGUGCGAGCGUUAAUCGGAAUUACUGGGCGUAAAGCGCACGCAGGCGGUAUGUCAAGUCAAGGGUGAAAUCCCCGGGCUCAACGUGGGAACUGCAUCUGAAACUGGCAAACUUGAGUGUGUGAGAGGAUAGUAGAAUUCCAGGUGUAGGGGUGAAAUCCGUAGAGAUCUGGAGGAACACCAGUGGCGAAGGCGGCUUACUGGAC
rnacentral:rRNA from 1 species